AGUCUGUGCCAACCGUCGAGUGCAGAUUGUUGGGCAAACUAAAGUAAAAUAAAUCAAAAGUUGUGCCACUUUUUCUGGUGAGGCAGCUAAAACAAGUACAAGAAGUUCGGGCCAAGCGCCUAUGUUGGGGGACAGCCGGUUAAGCUGUCCUGUCUAUGGCCUGUACUCGUAUUUGCCACAAGCCAAAACUUUCAAUUAUUUUUGCCUCUACCUACAUCUGGUUUCAUUUUUUGUUGUUUUCAAAUUUGUUUGCAUGUAUGCCUCCCGGUUGCGUCUUGGUCACACCACCACUCACAACAAGCAGGCCUCCCACACCACCGACCCGGGCGCAGGCAAGCGAAUUAUUUGAAAUAUUUUCUCGUUUUAUAUACGAGUAUUUCGCUUGCCGGUCGGGUUUUUCAUACUUUUCGGGUUUGCCUCUUAGUGUGGCCGAGCAGGACACAGUUCCUUGCAACCACCGAGCAACAUCGACGAACCACCAUUGUCACAAUCUCCGUAGCCAUAGCUCACACCGCAACCGCCAACUGCCGUGUUGUUGGUUCUUCCGCCUGAUGUUUUUGCUGCCUCGGGCCUCGUCCUUGCCAGACAGCAAUGCCUGUGCAUAAAUUUAAUUAAUGGCCGCUGUGAAUUUGCCUUUAGUUCAGUUGUUUCAUAUUAUUGUGAAAUUUUUAUUUAAAUAAACAAAGUGCCGGCUGGCAUUAGAACUCGCACCCUA